rnacentral:rRNA from 1 species
UGCCCGAAGGGUGACGAUGCGACGCCGCGUGGGUGAGGAAGGCCUUCGGGUUGUAAAGCCCUGUCAGGAGUUAAGAAAUGUAGACUCGCUAACAUCGGGUCUAUUUGACAAAAGCCCCAAAGGAAGCCACGGCUAACUCUGUGCCAGCAGCCGCGGUAAUACAGAGGUGGCAAGCGUUGUUCGGUAUUAUUGGGCGUAAAGAGCACGUAGGUGGUUUUGUAAGUCAGAUGUGAAAGCCUUCUGUUCAAAGGAAGAACGGCAUCUGAAACUGCAAAUCUUGAGUGUAGGAGGGGAGAGUGGAACUUCUGGUGGAGCGGUGAAAUGCGUAGAUAUCAGAAGGAACGUCGGCGGCGAAAGCGACUCUCUGGCCUAUUACUGACACUGAGUGUGCGAAAGUUAGGGGAGCAAACGGGAUUAGAUACCCCGGUAGUCCUAACCGUAAACGAUGGGCACUAAGUAGAGGGGU